CAAUAGCAUAUAUUAACGUUGUUGCAGUUGAAAAGCUCGUAGUUGAACUUUUGGUAGGAGCGACCUGGCCUUGGGCGCAUGCCCUUGUUUGCCGUGUGUCGUGUCUGGCCAUCCUUUUCCGCUUCGGCAGGAAUCUUUUACUGUGAGUAAACUGGAGUGCUCAAAACAAGACGUUUGUUUGGUACAUUAAAGCAUGGAAUAAUAAGAUAGGACCUGGUUACUAUUUUGUUGGUUUGCAUAGCUAGGUAAUGAUUAACAGGGACAGUUGGGGGUAUUCGUAUUUAAUUGUCAGAGGUGAAAUUCUUGGAUUUAUGAAAGACGAACGACUGCGAAAGCAUUUACCAAGGAUGUUUUCAUUAA
rnacentral:rRNA from 1 species